CCUACGGGGGGCAGCAGUGGGGAAUAUUGGACAAUGGGCGAAAGCCUGAUCCAGCCAUGCCGCGUGUGUGAAGAAGGCCUUCGGGUUGUAAAGCACUUUCAGUGGGGAAGAAAGCCUUGGGGCUAAUACCCUCGAGGAAGGACAUCACCCACAGAAGAAGCACCGGCUAACUCCGUGCCAGCAGCCGCGGUAAUACGGAGGGUGCGAGCGUUAAUCGGAAUUACUGUGCGUAAAGCGCGCGUAGGCGGUCUGAUAAGCCGGUUGUGAAAGCCCCGGGCUCAACCUGGGAACGGCAUCCGGAACUGUCAGGCUAGAGUGCAGGAGAGGAAGGUAGAAUUCCCGGUGUAGCGGUGAAAUGCGUAGAGAUCGGGAGGAAUACCAGUGGCGAAGGCGGCCUUCUGGACUGACACUGACGCUGAGGUGCGAAAGCGUGGGUAGCAAACAGGAUUAGAUACCCGAGUAGUC
rnacentral:rRNA from 1 species